GUUGCAUGGAGCUCUGUGGGGUUGCACUGAGUGCAUGGGGUUGCAUGGGGUUGCAUGGAGUGCAUGGGGUUGCACUGAGUGCAUGGGGUUGCAUGGAGUGCGUGGGGUUGCAUGGAGCUCUGUGGGGUUGCACUGAGUGCAUGGGGUUGCAUGGAGUGCGUGGGGUUGCAUGGGGUUGUGUGGGGUUGCAUGGAGUGCGUGGGGUUGCAUGGAGUUGUAUGGGGUUGCACUGAGUGCAUGGAGUUGCAUGGAGUGCGUGGGGUUGCAUGGAGUGCGUGGGGUUGCAUGGAGUUGUGUGGGGUUGCACUGACUGCAUGGGGUUGCAUGGGGUUGCAUGGAGUGUGUGACGUUGCAUGGAGUGCAUGGGGUUGCAUGGAGUGCGUGGGGUUGCAUGGGGUUGUGUGGAGUUGCACUGAGUGCAUGGGGUUGCAUGGAGUUGUGUGGGGUUGCAUGGAGUUGUAUGGGGUUGCACUGAGUGCAUGGGGUUGCAUGGAGUGUGUGGGGUUGCAUGGAGUGCAUGGGGUUGCAUGGAGUUGUGUGGGGUUGCAUGGAGUUGUAUGGGGUUGCACUGAGUGCAUGGGGUUGCAUGGAGUGUGUGGGGUUGCAUGGAGUGCAUGGGGUUGCAUGGAGUUGUGUGGGGUUGCAUGGAGCUCUGUGGGGUUGCACUGAGUGCAUGGGGUUGCAUGGGGUUGCAUGGAGUGCGUGGGGUUGCAUGGAGUUGUGUGGGGUUGCAUGGAGCUCUGUGGGGUUGCAUGGAGUUGUGUGGGGUUGCAUGGAGUGCAUGAGAUAUGUGAGGUUGCACAGAGGUGCAUGGGGUUGCAUGGAGUGCAUGGGGUUGUGUGGGAUUGCAUGAAGUUGCAUGGAGUUGUAUGGGGUUGCAUGGAGUUGUACGGGGUCUCAUGAGGUGCAUGGGGUUGCAUGGGGUUGUGUGAGGUUGCAUGGAGUACAUGAAGUGCAUGGGGUUGCAAGGGUUUGCACGGGGUUGCAAGGAUUUGCAUGGGGUUGCAAGGGUUUGCAUGGGGUUGCAAGGAUUUGCAUGGGGGUGCAAGGCUUUGCAUGGGGUUGCAUGGAGUGCAUGAGGUGCACGGGGUUGCAUGGAGUUGUGAGGGGUUGCACAAAGUUGCAUGAGGUUGCACGGGACUUCACGGGGUUGUGUGGGGUUCAGGAGGGUGCAUGGGGUUGCAUGGGGGAUCCAUGGGGUUCAUUCCAUAGGGGUGCAUGGGGUUCUGUGGGAUUACUUAGGGUCAUGGGGUCGUGGGAUCAUGGAAUCAUGGAGGUAGACUGAUAGGAUCAUGGAUUUGUAGGGGCGCGGGGUCAUAGAAAUGUAGGGUCGUGGAAACAUGGGGUCAUGGGGUCAUAGAAUCAUGGAGGUAGACUCAUAGGAUCAUGGAUUUGUAGGGGCACGGGAUCAUGGAAACUUGGGAUCAUGGAAACAUGGGAUCAUGGGAUCAUAGAAUCAUGGAGGUAGACUCAUAGGAUCAUGGAUUUGUAGGGGCGCGGGGUCAUGGAAACGUGGGGUCAUGGAAACAUGGGGAUCAUGGGAUCAUGGGAUCGUAGAAUCAUGGAGGUAGACUCAUAGGAUCAUGGAUUUGUAGGGGCGCGGGAUCAUGGAAACGUGGGGUCAUGGAAACAUGGGGUCAUGGGGUCAUAGAACUGUGGCAUGGUGGAAUCAUAGGGUCAUGGAUUUGUAGGAUCGUGGAAUCAGAACCAUGGCUCAUGGGCUGGAAGGGACCGUAAAGACAAUAAAGAACCAUAGGGUGGUUGAGUUGGAAGGGUCCUUGAAGAUCAUAGAACCAUAGAAACUCACAAUGGUUGGGUUGGAAGGGUCCUUACAGAUCAUAGAAGUAUAGAAUCCCACAAUGGUUGGGUUGGAAGGGAUCUUAUAGACAAUAUAACAAUAGGAUGGUUGGGUUGGGAGGGUCCUUGAAGGUCACAGAACUAUGUAAGUUCACAAUGGUUGGGUUGGAAGGGUCCUUGAAGAUCAUAGGGCCAUAGAAAUGCACAUUGGUUGGGUUGGAAGGAAUCUUAUAG
ensembl:lncRNA